ACUCAAAUGAAUUGACGGGGGCCCGCACAAGCGGUGGAGUAUGUGGCUUAAUUCGAUGCAACGCGAAGAACCUUACCUAGCCUUGACAUGCACUGGACGGACGCUGAAAGGCGUAUUCCCUUCGGGGCCGGUGCACAGGUGCUGCAUGGCUGUCGUCAGCUCGUGUCGUGAGAUGUUGCGUUAAGUCGCGCAACGAGCGCAACCCCUGUCCUUAGUUGCCAUCAUUUAGUUGGGCACUUUAGGGAAACAAACCCUCUUUGAGGGUGGGAAGGUGGGGAUGACGUCAAGUCAGGAUGGCCCUUACGGCUAGGGCUGCACACGUACUACAAUGCCCGGUACAAAUGGAAGCAAUGUUGUAAGGCAAAGCAAACCCAAAAAACCGGGCUCAGUUCAGAUUGUAGUCUGCAACUCGACUACAUGAAGUUGGAAUCGCUAGUAAUGGCGUAUCAGCUACGGCGCCGUGAAUACGUUCCCGGGCCUUGUACACACCGCCCGU
rnacentral:rRNA from 1 species